rnacentral:lncRNA from 13 species
CAAGACUUCCAGGAGAAAUUAGGGAAACAUCUGCAAGGUUAAGGCAGGAAGUCCGGGGGCUGCUUCCCAGAGAGGGAAGUGCCUCUCUUGAGACCGCUGCCACAGAGCUGAAAUGCUAUAAUCUGGGACCAAGGACACUGACUGAAGACAAGGGAUUAGACACCAAGAAGGAUCAAUAAUACAUCAACUCAACUCCACUCCUUCAGCCACACAGAGGAGGAACGUACUGAAUAUCAAGAAUAUUUCAGAGGACCCUGGAGCAGAGAUGGUACCUGCACAGUGCACCUUGAUGAUAUCAGCAUCCACUGCCAAUACAGCGUGAAGGCAAUCAUGGGGAAGCCAUCUUGCUUCCUGUGUGAUGCUGAAACUGCCACUGAAGACAGAAAAGCAAGAGAUGGGAAAGCCUGGG